AGAUGAUAAAUAGAUAUUACUAUGUUUGAUUGCGGUUCAAAAAGAAAUACAUCUU
rnacentral:tRNA from 1 species